GUUUUCUGGCAGGAUCUGCCAUCCUAUGGAACACUCACACUGGAGCAGCCCAUCCCUGAAGGACUUUCACCUGUGGAGAGGACCCACAUAGGAGCAGGUUUUGAAGGUUAAGCACAAUUUGCAGUAUUUUACUGAGCAGUGAAAAGGAAGCUUAACACAGAAGCUCCUUACACACAGAUACCCAGAAACUAUUUUGUGUCCUGAAAGCCUGUGAUGGAAAGGAAGAUACAAAGUCCGGAGCACUGAACAGUCUAUUUCAGGUAAUUCAGCAAACCAGAAACUUGCAUUGAGGAGAGGACAUUUCAGGCACCAACUGGAACUUGAGCAAGCAUAAUUUUGAAGAUUACCAGGGAGAUGAACAGAGUCAAUAUCCAGUGUGGUUUGCCUUGGGGUCAUGAGGGGAACUCCUCCAGUCUGACUCAUGCCAGGAUUGCAUUCCAGAAGCAAGAUUUUUAUAUUGGGUGGUACUUUCAGAAGAGAUGACUAUUCAAAAUGAAUUGCUAAUAAACUCUGUGUCUUUGAUUGGUUUCUUGUGAAGCAAAAAGAAGCCAUGCAUGUAGUUUUAAGAUAUUGGUAUAAGGAGCACACCCUAACUGAUUAGAGGGUUAUUCCCUUGCUGAUGGAGCCUCCCAAUUUCUGAACAAUAAAGUCGAUAAUAUCAACUUGA